AGAAAAGGCCUGAGGGAGCUUGUUCACUCUUUUGCUCGGUCCAGCCUGUGAGGACAUAGCAAGAAGGCCCAUCUAGGAAGCAGAGACCAAGCCCUCACCAGACACGGCAUCUGUUGAUCUUCCCAGCCUCCAGAACUUGUGAGGAUACAACUGGGAACUAAAGCUGGAAGAUGCCAGACAUUCAGCAGGGAGUUCCCUCAUCAGCAGCUGGCUAACUGGGGAACUGAAAGUCACAAGGCGCUCGUUUCUGAUAACUCCAUGAAAAUUCACUCUGGGUCAGAAAUCAAUCUUUGGAGUUCUGAACAUGCAGCUUUUCUCAUGGGCCUUUUGGAGAACAAUCAGCUACUCAGCCAUCAGAGCCUUUUUUGCUGGAUGGCAGGCAGGAACUGACAGCAAACCAUCGUCUCUACAACACGCAGAAGAUCAGCACCAAGUCUCCAUUCUCCGAAAACAUGUGUCCAUGCAGCUCUCCCAGGGGAGGUCUGCGCUGCAGUGGAAGGCCCCAGGAGCGUGGGAGCCAGCUCAUCGCAUGAAGGAAACACAGAGUUGUACCUCCAG
rnacentral:lncRNA from 1 species